GGCAUUGCCCGGUAGCUAAGUGCGGAAGAGAUAACCGCUGAAAGCAUCUAAGCGGGAAACUUGCCUUGAGAUGAGUCUUCCCUGACUCUUUAAGAGUCCUAAAGGAACGUUUAAGACUAAGACGUUGAUAGGUUGGGUGUGUAAGCGUAGCGAUACGUUGAGCUAACCAAUACUAAUGAACCGUGAGGCUUAACCUG
rnacentral:rRNA from 1 species